rnacentral:lncRNA from 1 species
UUUCAAGCUCAAGUUAUUAGGGUAUUAGUAGUUAUGGCCGUAUGUUGUACUUUGUCUUUUUCAAAUUAUGCUAAUUUGAAUUUUUGAGUAAUGAGUUGUGACUAUUUUGCAUUUAUUUUGUUUAGUGAGGACUAUUGCUAUUGACUAUCGGACUCAAGUGGGUGUACCGUGCUAAUAGCGAUGCCUAGGCCCAAGUACUCUCAAAUCCAUAUCUCCGCGCCUUUGAAUGUUGUGGUACGUAACUGUGGCUUUAAAUUUUGUAUAUUUAUCUUGGGCCUUAAUUAACCUGAACUUGAAGUUCCCCGGGUUCAAUUUCAAGCUCAAGUUAAUUAGGUAUUAUUAGACAAGGCCUUAUGUUUUAAAUACGCUUUGGCCCUUUGUCAAAAUUAGCUGAUUUGAGUUUUUUGUGUAAUAUGUAGUGACUGUUUUUGCAUUUGGUCUGUUUUGCGAGGACUUUGCUAUUGACUAUACCCGUAUUCAACUUCAAGUCGGUAUUUAGGUACUUGUUUUUGUUGUUAUUAUUUUAUGUUGUUUUUUUAUUUAUAGCAUGAUUUUAAUGUUUGAGUACGAGUGAGUGACUGCCUUUGCUUUUUUGUUUUGUCGAGGACUAAUACUGUUGACUAUCGGGUUUAAAUUUCAUCAGCUCAAGUGUAUUAGGGUAAUUAUUAGUUAUUUCCGUAUGCUUUACUUUGUCUUUUUCAAAUAUGCUAAUUUGAAUUUUUGAGUAAUGAUUUGGCUGACUAUUUUCAUUGAUUUUUUGUUUAGUGAGGACUAUUGCUAUUGACUAUCCGGACUCAAGUUGGUGUUACCGUGGUAAAGCGAUGCCUGGCCCAAUACUCUCAACCAUAUCCCACCCUUUGAAUGUUGUGGUCGUAACUGAUGGCUUAAAUUUGUUGUCAUUUAUUCUUGGGCCUUAAUUAACCCUAACGUGAAUUUCCCCGGUUCAAUUUCAAGCGUCAUGUUAAUUAGGAAUUAUUAGACAAGGCCCUUUAUUUAAACUUUGUCCUUUUUACAAGUUAUCUGAUUUGAGUUUUGUUGUGUAAUAUGUAUGACUGUUUUUGCUUUGUUUUCGUUUUCGAGGAACUAUUCUCUUGACUACCGGAUUCAACUUCAGCUCGAGUUAUUUUAGGUACUUUUUGUUAGUACUUUAUGUUGUUUUUUUAUCUACAAGCAUGAUUUUAAAAUGUUUUGAGUAACGAGUAGUGACAGCUUUUUGCAUUUUGUUUUGUUUUGGCGAGGACUAAUACUGUUGACUAUCGGUUGUUAAUUUCAAGCUCGAAGUUAUUAGGGUAUUAUUAGUUAUGGCCGUUAUGUUGACUUGUCUUUUUCAAAUAUGCUAAUUGAUUUUUGAGUAAUGAGUUUGACAUUUUGCAUUAUUUUUGUUUAGUGAGGACUAUUGCUAUGGACUAUCGGGGACUGGAAUCAAGUGGGUGUACGUACUAAAUAGCGAUGCCUAGGCCCAAGUUCUCAAAUCCAUAUCUCCGCGCCUUUGAAUGUUUGUGGUACGUAACUGUUGACUUUAAAUUUUGUAAUUACUUGGGCCGUAAGUUACACCUGAACUGGAAGUCCCGGGUUCAAUUUCAAGCUCAAGUUAAUAGUAUUAUUAGACAGGACUUUAUGUUGUACUUGUAUUUUAAAAUUAUGACUGAUUUGAGUUUUUGUCUGUAGUAAGAUGUAGUGAACGUUUUUGCAUUGUCGUUUGCGAGGACUAUGCCCUAUUGACUACCGGAUUCAACUUAAAGUGCGAGUUAUUUAGGUUAACUUUUUGUUAGUACUUUAUGUGUGUUUUUAUUUAGAGACAUGAUUUAUGUUUGAGUAACGAGUAGUGACUGCUUGCAUUUUUUUGUUUUGCGUGAGGACUAAUUCUGUUGAAUAGUCGGGGUUUAAUUCAAGUCAAGUUAUUAGGGAUUAGUAGUUAUGGCCGCAUGUGUACUUGUCUUUUUCAAAUUAUGCCUAAUUGAAUUUUUGAGAGUAAUAGUGUGACUGUAUUUUGCCUUAUUUUGUUUAGUGAGGACUAAUGCUAUUGACUAUCGGAUCAAGUGGGUUUGUACCGUGCUAAUAGCGAUGCCUAAGGCCCAAAGUACUCUCAAAUCCAUAUACUCCGCGCCUUUGAAUGUUGUGGGGAGUACGUAAUGUGCUUUAAAUUUUGUUAUAUUAUCUUUGGCCUUAAUAACCUUGAACUGGAAGUUCCCGGGUUAAUUCAAGCUCAAGUUAUUAGGUAUAUUAGACAGGCCUUAUGUUGUGUACUUGUCUUUUUAAAAUUAUGCUGAUUUGAGUUUUUGUGUAAUAUGUAGUGACUGUUUUGCAUUUGUUCUGUUUUGCGAGGACUAUUGCUAUUGACUACCGGAUUCAACUUCAAGCUCGAGUUAUUUAGGUACUUUUUGUUAGUACUUUAUGUUGUUUUUUAUUUAUAGCAUGAUUUUAAUGUUUGAGUAACGAGUAGUGACUGCUUUGCAUUUUUUUUGUUUUGCGAGGACUAAUACUGUUGACUAUCGGGUUUAAUUUCAAGCUCAAGUUAUUAGGGUAUUAGUAGUUAUGGCCGUAUGCUGUACUUUGUCUUUUCCAAUAGCUAUUUGAAUUUUUGAGUAAUGAGUUGUGACUAUUUUGCAUUAUUUUGUUUUAGUGAGGACUAUUGCCUAUUGAUAUCGACUCAAGUGGGUGUACCGUGGUAAUAGCGCUGCCUAGGACCAAGUACUCUCAAACCAUAUCUCCACGCCUUAAUGUUGUGGUACUUAACUGUGGCUUUAAAUUUUGCUAUAUUUAUCUUGGGCCUUAAUUAACCUGAAACUUGAAGUCCACGGGUUCAAUUCAAGCUCAUUUAAUUAGGUAUAGUGACACGGGCCUUAUUAUUAAAAUUUGUCUUUAAAAUUAUGCUGAUUUGAGAUUUGGUUAAUAUGUAGUGACUGUUUUGCAUUUGUUCUGUUUUGCGAGGACUAUUGCUAUUGACUACCGGAUUCAACUUCAAGCUCGAGCUAUUUAGGUACUUUUUGUUAGUACUUUAUGUUGUUUUUUAUUUAUAGCAUGAUUUUAAUGUUUGAGUAACGUGUAGUGACUGCUUUGCAUUUUUUGUUUUGUUUUGCGAGGACUAAUACUGUUGACUAUCGGGUUUAAUUUCAAGCUCAAGUUAUUAGGGUAUUAGUAGUUAUGGCCGUAUGUGUACUUUGUCUUUUUCAAAUUACAGCUAUGUUGAAUUUGUGAGUACUGAGUUGCUGACUAUUUGCAUUGAUUUUGUUAUUUGAGGACUAUUGCUAUGACUAUCGGACCUCAAGUGGGUGUGUACCGUGCUAAUAGCGAUGCCUAGGCCAAAGUACUUCUCAAACCCAUAUCUCAAAGGCAUUUGAAUGUUGUUUUUACGAAACUGUGGCUUAAUUUUGUAUAUUUAUCUUGGGCCUUAAUUAACCUGAACUUGAAGUUUCCCGGGUUCAAUUUCAAGCUCAAGUUAAUUAGGAAUUAUUAGACAAGGCCUUAUGUUAAACUUUGUCUUUUUAAAAUUAUGCUGAUUUGAGUUUUUGUGUAAGAUGUAGUGACUGUUUUGCAUUUGUUCUGUUUUACGAGGACUAUUGCUAUUGACUACCGGAUUCAACUUAAAGUUCGAGUUAUUUAGGUACUUUUUGUUAGACUUGAUGUUGGUUUUAUUUACAGAAUGAUUUUAAUGUUGAGUAACGAGUAGUGAUGUUGCAUUUUUUUUUUUUGUUUUGCGAGGACUAGUUCUGUUGACUAUCGGGUUUAAUUCAAGCUCAAGUUUUAGGGUAUUAGUAGUUAUGGCCGUAUUAGGUUGUACUUUGUCCUUUUUCAAAUUACGCUAAUUUGGGAAUUUUGAGUAUGAGUUGUGACUAUUUUGCAGUUAUUUUGUUAGUGAGGACUAUUGCUAUGAACUAUCGGACUCAAGGGUGCUUGUACCGUGCUAAUAGCGAUGCCUGGGCCCAAGUAUUCGCAAAUCAAUAUUCUCCGCGCCUUUGAAUGUUUGUGGACGUAAAUGUUGCUUUAAAUUUUGGAUAUUUAUCUGGUCCUAAUUAACCUGAACUUGAAGUUCCCGGGUUGUUCAAUUUCAAGCUCAAGUUAUUAGGUAUUAUUAGACAGGCCUUAUGUUGUACUUUGUCGGUUUUAAAAAUUAUGCUGAUUUGAGUUUUUGUGUAAUAUGUAUGUGUGACGGGUUUGAUUUUGUCUGUUUUGCGAGACUAUGCUAGACUACCGGAUUCAACUAAAGCUCGCGAUUUAGGUACUUUUUGUUAGUACUUUAUGUGUUUUUUAUUUAUUGCAAUGAUUUUAAUGUUUGAGUAACGAGUUAGUAGUGACUGCGUUUGCAUUUUUUUUGUUUUGCGGAGGAGGACUUAAUAAUGUUGACUAUCGGGUUUAAUUUCAAGCCUCAAGUUAUUAGGGUAUAGUAGUUAUGGUCCGUAUUGCUGUACUUGUCUUUUUAAAAUUAUGGCUAAUUUGAAUUUUGAGUAAUAGUAAUGAGUUGUGGACGAUUUUGCAUUAUUUUGUUUAGUGAGGACUAUUGCUAUUGACUAUCGGACUCUCAAGUCGGGGUGUACCGUGGUAAUAGCGAUGCCUAGCCCAAGUACUCUCAAACAUAUCUCCACGCCUUUGAAUGUUGUCGGUACUUAACUGUGGCUUAAAUUUUGUAUAUUUAUCUUGGUAGCUUAAUUAACUGAACUUGAAGUUCCCGGGUUCACUUUCAAGAUCAUGUAAUUGAGGUAUUAUUAGACAAGGCCUAUAUAAACUUUGUCUUUUUAAAAUUAUGCUUGAUUUGAGUGUUUGGGUAAUAGCGUGACGUUUUGCAUUUGUUCUGUUUUGGCGGACUAUUGCACUAUUGACUACCGGAUUCAACUUCAAGCUCGAGCUAUUAGGUACUUUUUGUUAGUACUUAGUGAUUUUUAUUUAUAGAAUUGAUUUUAAUGUUUGAGUAACGAGUAGUGAUUGACUUUGCAUUUUUUUUGUUUUGCGAGCGGACUAAUUCUUGUUGACUAUCGGGUUUUUAAUUUCAAGCUCAAGUUAUUAGGGUUAUUAGUGUUAUGGCCGUAUGUUGUACUUUUGUCGUUUUCCAAUUAUGCUAAUUUGAAUUUUAAAGUAAUGAGUUUGUGACUCUUUUGCAUUUUUUUUGCUUAGUGAGGACUAUUGCUAGUGACUACGACUCCAGCAGUGGGUGUCCGUGCUAAUAGCGAUGCCUAGGCCCAAGUAACUCUCAAAUCCUAUCUCCACGCCUUUCAUUGUUGUGUGUACCAAACUGUGGCUUUAAAAAAUUUGUAUAUUUAUCUUGGGCCUUAAUUAACCUGAACUUGAAGUUUCCCGG